UUUUUACAGCGUGAAAGCAAAAUAAAUUCAUAUAUACGGUAACACAAAUAAGCAGAGUAUGAAAUUUAAUUUACAAUGACGUGUGGGUCCUCGAAUGACCAAAGGUAACAAAGGCUGUGGACCUACAAUUUUUGAGAAGACGAGUCCAAUAAUAACCCUCGACGUAAUCAGCUAUUUACUGACUAUCCUGAACCUGGAAUGAGUGGAAAGGAAGGUGGUGAGUUUAUAUAAACUCAGUGAGUAAAUAAACAUCAUCUAAAAUAUCUAAAGUCGAGUAAAUGGAGACAACUUAAAAUAGUUCAUCGUACUAUGAUUCAUA
rnacentral:lncRNA from 1 species